AGUGAACGCUGGCGGCAGGCCUAAUACAUGCAAGUCGAACGGCAGCACGGCAGAGCUUGCUCUGUGGGUGGCGAGUGGCGGACGGGUGAGGAAUACAUGGGAAUCUGCCCAGUCGUGGGGGAUAACGUAGGGAAACUUACGCUAAUACCGCAUGCGCCCUUCGGGGGAAAGCCGGGGACCUUCGGGCCUGGCGCGAUUGGAUGAGCCCAUGUCGGAUUAGCUAGUUGGCGGGGUAAUGGCCCACCAAGGCGACGAUCCGUAGCUGGUCUGAGAGGAUGAUCAGCCACACUGGAACUGAGACACGGUCCAGACUCCUACGGGAGGCAGCAGUAGGGAAUAUUGGACAAUGGGCGCAAGCCUGAUCCAGCCAUGCCGCGUGAGUGAAGAAGGCCCUCGGGUUGUAAAGCUCUUUUGUCCGGAAAGAAAAGCGCCGGGUUAAUACCCUGGUGUCCUGACGGUACCGGAAGAUAAGCACCGGCUAACUUCGUGCCAGCAGCCG
rnacentral:rRNA from 1 species